AAUAAAAUGCCAGUCACACCUCCAGAAGUGUUCAUAACAGCAUUUCUUCAAUUAACAGGGCAAAGGUUGGAGCAGUAAAGGAACAGAUGAAGGCCAGGCACUUCUCCUGGGUCAUUACUGUAAACCUGGCAGUCAGCCACUCUGGAUGCUACCAUUCUCCCCACGAUGAAUUAAAGCCACAGAGAGGUUCAAUGGUACAAUGUCAGGAACUGAGGGAUGCUGAGAAUUAAGGACAAGGCCUGUGAAGAGGAACUUCUGUGAGAUGAGAAUACAGUAGAUCUUCAGAUUCCUCCAGAUCUUCAGCUGUUGUUUCAUACUUGCCAUUUCCACUGUAUCCGGCAAAUUCCUCAGAUCUAUCUUCUUGUUCAACAAGUUCAACUUAAACUGUUUACUGUUUCAUCCAGUCCACUUACUAUACUGUUUUUAUUUCAGUGAUAUCAUUUUUUAUUUCCAAGAUAUUUUGCUGACCAUUUUUAAAGAAGUAAUAACCUCUCACAUCUCUGUGUAAUUAGGCUCAUUCUAACAGUCUGCCCUAUUUGCUUUAUUACCUCUACCCCUUGGUUCUAUAAGUAACCAAUUAAAAAAAUUUUUUUAUAAAACCUUUAUU
rnacentral:lncRNA from 1 species